rnacentral:rRNA from 1 species
GUUGAACGCUGGCGGCAUGCCUAACACAUGCAAGUCGGACGGGAAGUGGUGUUUCCCGUGGCGGACGGGCGAGUAACGCGUAAGAAACUGCUCUUGGGAGGGGAACAACAGCUGGAAACGGCUGCUAAUACCCCGUUGGCUGAGGAGCAAAAGGAGGAAUCCGCGCGAGGAGGGGCCCGCGUCUGAUUAGCCAGUUGGUGCGGCAAUAGCUUACCAAGGCGAUGAUCAGUAGCUGGUCCGAGAGGACGAUCAGCCACACUGCGACUGGGACACGGAGCAGGCUCCAACGGGAGACAGCAGUAGGGAAUUUUCCGCAAUGGGCGAAGGGCUGACGGAGCAAUGCCGCGUGGAAGUAGAAGGCGUACGGGGCGUGAACUUCUUUUCCCGAAGAAGAAGCAAUGACGGUAUCUGGAGAAUAAGCAUCGGCUAACUCUGUG